GAGUUUGAUCAUGGCUCAGGAUGAACGCUGGCGGCGUGCCUAAUACAUGCCAAGUCGAGCGGUAAGGCCUUUCGGGGUACACGAGCGGCGGACGGCUGAGUAACACGUAGGAACGUACCCCUUUAGUGAGGCAUAAGCACCAGAAAUGGUGUCUAAUACCGCAUGUGAUCUUCGGAUUAAAGCUUCGGCGCUAAAGGAACGGCCUGCGCAUGAUUAGCUUGUUGGUGAGGUAAUGGGCU
rnacentral:rRNA from 1 species